UACCCACGUUCGGAUUGCAGUCUGCAACUCGAGUGCAUGAAGCUGGAAUCGCUAGUAAUCGCGAAUCAGAAUGUCGCGGUGAAUACGUUCCCGGGGUCUUGUACACACCGCCCGUCACACCAUGGGAGUCGGAAAUGCCCGAAGUCAGUGACCUAACCGAAAGGGAGGAGCUGCCGAAGGUGGAGCCGGUAACUGGGGUGAAGUCGUAACAAGGUAGC
rnacentral:rRNA from 1 species